GGCAGAUAAGACACACACCAGAAAAGGAGAGGAACAUUACGAAUCGGGUGCCCCCCAGAGUUCUCCUGAACACUUCAAUGGGACUUUCUUUGCAAGCACUUCCCAAUGAAGUGUUUGGGGGAACUCCUGGUGUCGCUUGAUGCUAUGGCCGGAAUUCAACACAACACCAUAAACUCUUUUGAGGGAGUGUGUACACUGUACACUCAUAUCGCUGCUACAUCAGACUUAUCAUCCUUUGAUGGUAAAAACUUCAGGAUCUUCCAUUGAAGUAUAACAGCGACAAUAAGGAGGAGGCCAACAGCAUCCAAAAUAAUCGAGAGACUGAUAUGGUUCUAUUUUUCAUUCAGUUAGUCGGUGUUCAAGUUCCUCAUUCCUCGGGAUUCCAGUUGCUGGAGGAGACUCUUUCCAUGGAGAACGUGUUGAACUGAAUCUGAACCGUUUCAAUUGUACUUCAUUCACAAACGAACUGGGAGAGUCAGAAGAGCGUUCGAUUUUCAUUUCAUUGCUAACCCCAUCCCGCCAACCCCCCCCCCCCCCCCCCCGUUUGAAAUUGUGAACAUUGAAAGCUGACGAAGACAUUGAGAAUCUUGAAAGCUGA